rnacentral:tRNA from 1 species
CAGGAAAUAUUUAAAUUAAAUUUUCGCUUUGGGGUGUGAAUGGGGAACCUGAACCUUCUCCCUUAA